UACGAAGGGGGCUAGCGUUGUUCGGAAUUACUGGGCGUAAAGCGCGCGCAGGCGGUCUUCCAAGUCAGUGGUGAAAGCCCGGAGCUCAACUCCGGAACUGCCAUUGAAACUGUUAGACUUGAGGACGAGAGAGGUGAUGGAAUUCCCAGUGUAGAGGUGAAAUUCGUAGAUAUUGGGAAGAACACCGGUGGCGAAGGCGGCUCACUGGCUCGUAUCUGACGCUCAGGCGCGACAGCGUGGGGAUCAAACAGG
rnacentral:rRNA from 1 species